CAGUCGAACGCGGUUACYCCGCAAGGGGUGACYGAGUGGCGAACGGGUGAGUAACACGUGGGUGACCUACCUUCGAGUGGGGGAUAACGYCCCGAAAGGGACGCUAAUACCGCAUAACAUCCUGCCUUUGAACAGGCGGUGAUCAAAGCCGGGGAYCGYAAGRCCYGGCGCUUGWUGAGGGGCYCGCGUCUGAUUAGCUAGUUGGUGAGGUAACGGCCCACCAAGGCKACGAUCAGUAUCCGGCCUGAGAGGGCGGACGGACACACUGGGACUGAGACACGGCCCAGACUCCUACGGGAGGCAGCAGUGGGGAAUUGUUCRCAAUGGGCGCAAGCCUGAYGACGCAACGCCGCGUGGAGGAUGAAGGUCUUCGGAUUGUAAACUCCUGUUGCYCGGGACGAAURGCYYYGACCUAAYACGUCGRRGUSUGACGGUACCGRGUGAGGAAGCCCCGGCUAACUCUGUGCCAGCAGCCGCGGUAAUACAGAGGGGGCAAGCGUUGUUCGGAAUUACUGGGCGUAAAGGGCGCGUAGGCGGCCUGCUAAGUCGAACGUGAAAUCCCYGGGCUYAACCCRGGAACUGCGUCCGAUACUGGCWGGCUUGAAUCCGGGAGAGGGAUGCGGAAUUCCAGGUGUAGCGGUGAAAUGCGUAGAUAUCUGGAGGAGCACCGGUGGCGAAGGCGGCAUCCUGGACCGGUAUUGACGCUGAUGCGCGAAAGCCAGGGGAGCAAACGGGAAUAAGAUACCCCGGUAGUCCUGGGCCUUAACGAUGAAUGCUUGGUGUGGCGGG
rnacentral:rRNA from 1 species